AUGGAGAGUUUCAUCUUGUUCAGAGGAAGUAAACGGGUGACUGUAAAGGAAGACGACAUGACGACCGAAAAAAUCGGCAGGAUCUUCCAGGUACAUGGCCCCAGUCUCUACAUCACCGAUGACAGCAACGUAGCCCUAUUUCCUGGGCCUGAUGGCCACUUUAGCACUUUAGACCUCAUAGUAAGGGGGCAUUACGAGGUGCACGGCGAGAGUAUCAGCGUGGAGGACUCAUCUACCGGCAGUGUGCCAGUAACACACAACCCUACCCGCUUUUCCUUCCACCGCCCACCCAGCGCUGCUGCAGGUUCUGGUGCAAGGGCUUCUGCAAAUCCAAGAGCUACCCUGGCAAAAACAUUCCAAAGGAACAUCUUCAUCGCUGAACUUGUGAAUGGCAACUUGGAGACAAGCAAAACGCUGACUGUGCGUUUUUCAGAAUUUGAGGCUUCUGUUAUGGGCAUCCUCAGCAAAGUCAAUGAUGCUCUUGAAGAAGAGGAUUCACGCAUCCUCACUGACGGCCAGGGAAACAAAAUCUUGGACUCGGAAGGAACCAGAGGAUCAGCAUUUUGGAAGCAAAAUGCAAGGAAAGUUUUUGCUGUGCAGGAAGAACACUUCUUGCAAUUACAAGCUAGUAAAAAGAGGAGACUGAGUCGACGAGAAGAUACAGGCCUCGAAGGCGUUUUUGAUAGAAUUGAAGAGGUGGUCCUGGCAGCCCAGGGACUGCAAGAAGUGUCCACUACAAUGAAGGAGCUGAUGGAGUUUGCAAAUUCCAACCGCAGGACAACACUGUCCCUGACUGAGGCCCAAGCAGAAGCUAUUAGAGAUGCCUUUGCCUGUAUUGUCUGCAAAAGUCCAGUGGUUGAGCCCAUGGUUUCAUCGUGCUGCCAAAGCCUUGUUGGCUGUAGGAGCUGCAUUGAAGAGUGGCAGAGAAAUUCUGCCUUUUGCCCAAAGUGUCGAGCUGAUGGUUUUGGUGACAACAUUCAAAGACUAAACGGACUCUCUGAUGCAUUGGCUGCAUUGGGAAGCAUACUCUGGGAGUAAUACUGUACAGAAUGCAAUCAUGAGUAAUUGCAGUUUUACUGUUCUGUGUUGUCUACAGUUUAAGCAGUCUUUCAUGUACAUUUAGGUUUUUUUAAGUUUAUUUUAUGUUGGAUAUUUUCUUAAAUUGUUUGCAUUUGGAAACUCUUACUAUUCACAAAAGUGUAGUUUUUCUGCUUUGUGUUCUAUUUGUCCUUGAACAACAAGUCUACAGGUAAAGCACUCUUUCAUGUGUCUAGUUUAUAAGGUCUUUUUAGUUUUCAUACCCAUAUUUCAAUGAUGUGAAAGCUAAGUUACAAUCUCAAAUUUGCACUAUUUUAUGUUGUAUAUUUUUCAGAAUUUUAAAGUUAACAGUUUGAAUUAAGCAUAAAAAGUCUGCCCUUCUGGCAAUACUGGUGCAAUACUUUUUCAUUGUAUGCAAGAUUUUAUUUAACUAAAAAAGUUCAAUACAACAGAGUUUAAAGCAAAGAUUUAUUUGUCUAAUUAUUCAACUGACAAGUUGGGGGCACAGUGGCAGCUACAUACAAUUUUUAAAUAAAUCUGGAUUCCUUGGUUUUUUUUAAGACCAGGGUUAUCCAGGGUGCUCUCUGGCAACAUACAGUAAAAAGUGCAACAAUUAAGAGGGUAUCAAUAGAGACUGUAUGCAGACUGAUUACUGUUUGAUAAAGUAAAGAACAAACACACUGAGACCAAUCCAUAGUUGAUUCCAACAGUGUGGAGGCCAAUUGAGAUUUUGUACAAAAACUAUAAUUGCAUAAAGGGUUGACAAACUUUGAAUCAGCACUGUAGCAUAACAACUGUUUUCCUAGCUACUGAACAACACCACAGCAGUUCAGUUCAGUUCACAUAUCUUUGGGUGACAUUUAUGAGACACAACAAGGCAUCUUGGAAAGGUGUAUAGUCAUUGUUUACCACAUGAUUAAAAAGAAGAGAGAUGUCAGGGUAGUUCUCUGCAAAGUCUUGUUCUGCAUGACAUCUAUCCUCCUCAGAUGAAAAUGGGUCAGUUCCAAAAACUGACACCCAAGUCAGCGAGGAUCCAAACUCUUGCUCAUACAUGUUAGCCACAACAGAGGCAUUGGGCAGCAGCUCUUCGGAGAUUUUAGCUGGACAGCCACCUGCAGCGAGUUCAUUGGGUAUCCCACGGCCUAAAACAAGAUAACAAAUAACUAACAAAACAAUGCUAUUUAUGCUGUAUGUGGCUGGAGUGUGAAAAAAUAACUGCUUCAAAGUGUUGUACAUAUUCAGUUUAGCAUACCUGGGAUCCUGUGUGCAUUCCACGAUUGUACCACUCUGCCUAGUCCAAUUUGGCUUAAUUGACAUGUCAGGUUUGAAAUGCAGAAUUUAGUCAUAUUGUCCUCCAUGUUGAGGACUUCUUGGUCCAGCAGGUGUACCAGGGCCUGUUUCAAUGGGUAGUUCACACGAUUGUUCACCUCGGGCCAAAUCCUUUCCACUCGAAGAUUCUGUUGAACACAAAACAUGAUUUCAGAUGGUAUGAAAAUGUAAUAGAUUAUAGAUUAGUUUGGGAAAUUCAAUCCCAUUUUAAAAGCUUUCAUUUCUUAUUUAUUAGAAGAAAAAAUGGUCAGAGUCUUUCUUUCUUUACUAUGUUUGAUUAUAUUGGUUGUACUGUUUGUCCGUAUUACAAAGACCUCACCCUUGUUGAUGUUGUUUGAAGGUAUGGUGGCCUGCUAGGGUUGUGUCUAUGUCUUGAUAGCAUCUCUUGCAUGUACAAGCACAUGUAAAACUCCCUGCCAUGGUCAACCCUGAGUUGGUCCCACAUGCCAUGGUUAACCACUGCAGAUCUGGGAUAAAACAAUGUGUACAUGUGCAAAGGAAUGCACUGAACUUAACUGAUCCAAUAAGAAAAUUACACUCAAUGAAAAGAGAAUAUACAUUGCACAGAAAAUAUUAUGACAAUACCAUUGGUUCUGAAUGUAUUCACCUGUAAACUUCCUCAUAAAUCACAAGGUUGUUUUUCACUGGCAUGGUGGCAUUGGCAACAAUUUUGCUGCUGUAGCCAUCAACUGCCACGACGUGUGUCACUCCAAACAUCACAAGCUUCUCGUUUUGGUCCAGGUGAAUUUUAUGGCCCAUAUAUUCAGCAUGAUACGGGAUGGGAUUUAGAUUACGAGCACCCUGAAGAAAAUGUUUAUAUUUGAUUAAUGCAGCUCUUUGUCACAUCAGCACAGAAUAUUCACGAACCAUUUUUACAACAAAGAGAUUCUUAUAUGCAUGGGCUGGUUAUAUUAUUCUUAUUCUAUUAUUCUUUUAAGUUCAACUCCUAAAUAUAUUUAAGAUAUUUCGAAAGAUGAUCUACACCAAUCAGCCAUAACAUUACGACCACUGACAGGUAAUGUGAAUAACACUCAUUAUCUUGUUACCAUGACACCCGUCGGUGGCUGGGAUAUAUUAGGCAGCAAGUAAACAUCAUAACCUCAUAGCUGAUAUGUUAUUAAUAUUAUUAUUAAUAUUAUUAUUAGACUGCAUAACAAUAUACUGUACUUGAUGUUUCAUUGAAUUCUUAGCAUAUGACUUACCUGGUGUCGGAAUUCGUGGUAUGGCUGAUGAAUCUCUCUGAGGAUUUUCCCAACUCGACAUUCUCCUGCACGCACUCCCAUUGAAGACAGAUAGCCAGUCAUGAACUUGCGGCCAUAAGAUGGGCCCGUCUGUUAAGAAAAAUACAGCUAUGAGGACAUGAUGUUUAAAAGACGGGCAGGAUAUAAAAUGUGAAAACCUAAUUAAAAACUUACUUCAUAUAUUGAUCCAACCACAGCCCUCUCUAGUUCUGUGUCCGAUACAUGUCUUUUUCGCUUAAGGUCAUGCUGAACACAGAAUCUUCUUACACUCAUUUCAGAACACUGCUGGAUACCCAUCUGCUGCAGUGUAGUAGAAAUCUCGACAUGUGUCUUGCCAGUUUUAAAUAAGUCUUCAAUUAAAUCGGCAUAUGGUUCCAGUGCGGCCAUGGUGUCGAUACGAAAUCACUGCAGGAUUGAGUUUUUUCAGGGUUUGCGAAACUGCUGCAAACUUCCAAGUGCAACACACGAAGAAGACAAUAACUUCCGGUUCCACAAAGUGAAAACAUUAAAUAUCAAAAUCAAAAUCUUUCCGUGGCCCGUUAUUUCAUUUCCUAUGUUUGAUCUGAGCAAUAAAUCUAAAGUACAAAAAAUGAAACGUUAUUUGUUUUUUGGUAUCAGAUUCAUAAACGAAUAAGGAAAUAACAAACCGUUUUUUCAUUUUUCGAUUUUUGGAAUCUUAUUGAAUAUGAAAAGAACGAAUGAUACACGGAUUGACAAUCCGUCAAUGUACUGUACUGUACCUGUACUGUUCUAAAUACCUUUAUUUUGAAAACCGGAAGUAAAUACGCUGUUUCUCCGCAUUUACCAUAAUGUUGAGAAUACUUGUACACUCGAAAUUUAAGUGCGGCUGUUUUGACCACGGAGAUCGGACUCACGGCUGGAUUGACCGCAGUCUACUAGCCUACUGUUUCUUCUACACAGCACCGUCCUGUAAAUGACAACAUCCGGUCUCAGAAUAUGAAAAAACAGGCCUUUUUUCCGUUUCUGUUUUCUAGUGAUUUUAUUUUUUGUUAUAUGAAAUAGAAAAUGAAAAUCGAAUAAUUUUUUUAGUUUCGCUCAUCCCUUUUUGACCAUGAAAAAGAAAAACGCCUUGUAUUUAAAUUUAAAUUUUUGUAUUUUAAAACGAAAAUCAAAUAACCACUCGUUUUCUGUUUUUUAAUACCCGUUUCUGAAAGGAAAAUCCAAUGACCAAAACAUACACGGACCUUGGAGGUUCAUGGGAAGCUUUGCCCAUCUUUGUGUCAGAGGUUAUGUCUACAUUGUCAAACUAUCAGUGUCUUGAUAGCAGGACAGUGGACUAACAGUGAGGAUUUCUCUUUACAGGGGCAGCAACAGUUAGAUCCUCCAAGUGUUACUCACAAAGUGAUGCAGAGGAUUGUGAUGUUUCACAGGACAGAUUUAAACGUACUGACAGGAGGGAGGGAUAGGACGAUUCAUUAUCAGGUUUUUACAGAAAGGUUUGGUCCCCUUCUGAGUUUG
rnacentral:lncRNA from 1 species